AUUGAACGCUGGUGGCAGGCCUAACACAUGCAAGUCGAACGAGUGGCGGACGGGUGAGUAAUGUCUGGGCAACUGCCUGAUGGAGGGGGUUAACUACUGGGAACGGUAGCUAAUACCGCAUACCAUCAGAUGUGCCCAGAUGGGAUUAGCGAGUUGGUGGGGCAAAGGCUCACCAAGGCGACGAUCCCUAGCUGGUCUGAGAGGAUGACCAGCCACACUGGAACUGAGACACGGUCCAGACUCCUACGGGAGGCAGCAGUGGGGAAUAUUGCACAAUGGGCGCAAGCCUGAUGCAGCCAUGCCGCGUGUAUGAAGAAGGCCGUCGGGUUGUAAAGUACUUUCAGCGGGGAGGCGUUACCCGCAGAAGAAGCACCGGCUAACUCCGUGCCAGCAGCCGCGGUAAUUC
rnacentral:rRNA from 1 species